AACGAACGCUGGCGGCAUGCCUAACACAUGCAAGUCGAACGAGACCUUCGGGUCUAGUGGCUCACGGGUGCGUAACGCAUGGGAACCUGCCCCUAGGUUCGGCAUAACUCCCCGAAAGGGGUGCUAAUACCGGAUAAUGUCUUCGGACCAAAGAUUUAUCGCCUUUGGAUGGGCCCGCGUUGGAUUAGCUAGUUGGUAGGGUAAAAGGCUACCAAGGCGACGAUCCAUAGCUGGUCUGAGAGGGUGAAACGCCACACUGGGACUGCGACACGGCCCAGACUCCUAAGGGAGGCAGCAGUUGGGGAUAUUGGACAAUGGGGGAAACCCUGAUGCAGCCACGCCGCGUGGAGGAAGAAGGUCUUAGGGUUGUAAAGCUCUUUUACCCGGGAUGAUAAUGACAGUACCGGGAGAAUAAGCUCCGGCUAACUCCGUG
rnacentral:rRNA from 1 species